rnacentral:rRNA from 1 species
UUCGCAAUGCCCGAAAGGGUGACAAUGCGACGCCGCGUGUGCGAUGAAGGUUUUCGGAUUGUAAAGCACUGUCAGCUGGGAGGAAUCUCUGGAGGCUUAACAAGUCUUCAGGGUGACAGUGCCAGCAGAGGAAGCCACGGCUAACUCCGUGCCAGCAGCCGCGGUAAUACGGAGGUGGCAGGCGUUACUCGGAUUGAUUGGGUGUAAAGGGCGUGUAGGUGGUGAAUUAAGUCGAGUGUGAAAUCCCUUGGCUCAACCAAGGAACUGCAUUCGAAACUGAUUUGCUUGAGCGAUGGAGAGGAAAGCGGAAUUCCCGGUGUAACAGUGAAAUGUGUAGAUAUCGGGAGGAACACCAGUGGCGAAGGCGGCUUUCUGGACAUCUGCUGACACUGAAACGCGAGAGCUAGGGGAGCAAACAGGAUUAGAUACCCUAGUAGUCCUAGCCGUAAACGAUGGGCACUAAGUAGAGGGGUUUU